rnacentral:rRNA from 1 species
AUUGAACGCUGGCGGCGGGCCUAACACAUGCAAGUCGAGCGAGCGGCGGACGGGUGAGUAAUGUAUGGGGACUGCCCGAUCGAGGGGGAUAACUACUGGAAACGGUGGCUAAUACCGCAUACUAUCGGAUAACCCAUAUGGGAGUAGCUAGUAGGUGGGGUAAAGGCGCACCUAGGCGACGAUCUCUAGCUGGUCUGCGAGGAUGAUCAGCGACACUGGGCCUGAGACACGGCCCAGACUCCUACGGAGGCAGCAGUGGGGAAUAUUGCGCAAUGGGCGCAAGUCUUAUGCAGCCAUGCCGCGUGUAGGAAGAAGGCCUUAGGAUUGUAAAGUAAUUGUGGCGGGGAGGCGUGACCCGCAGAGGAAGCACCGGCUAACUCCGUGCCAGCAGCCGCGGUAAUUC